UACGUAGGGUGCAAGCGUUGUCCGGAAUUAUUGGGCGUAAAGAGCUCGUAGGCGGUCUGUCGCGUCGGAUGUGAAAACCCAGGGCUCAACCCUGGGCCUGCAUUCGAUACGGGCAGACUAGAGUGUGGCAGGGGGAGACUGGAAUUCCUGGUGUAGCGGUGAAAUGCGUAGAUAUCGGGGAGGAACACCUGUGGCGAAAGCGGCUCACUGGACCUAACUGACGCUGAUGCACGAAAGCUGGGGGAGCAAACAGG
rnacentral:rRNA from 1 species